rnacentral:rRNA from 1 species
UACGUAGGGGGCUAGCGUUGUCCGGAAUCAUUGGGCGUAAAGCGCGUGUAGGCGGCCCGGUAAGUCCGCUGUGAAAGUCGGGGGCUCAACCCUCGGAUGCCGGUGGAUACUGUCGGGCUCGAGUACGGAAGAGGCGAGUGGAAUUCCUGGUGUAGCGGUGAAAUGCGCAGAUAUUAGGAGGAACACCGGUGGCGAAGGCGCCACUCUGGGCCGAAACUGACGCUGAGGAGCGAAAGCGUGGGUAGCAAACAGG